UCUAAGCUUGACUGGAGUUGUCUUACAUCGUUUCAAGAUCCUAGACCAUAGCAUCUACCCUUGUGUGUCCCCCCUACCACUUUUUCUUUCCAAUCUGGGUGGACAGUUCAAGUGUCAAUUGGACCGAACUAUCUAGAUUCUCAGCGACGAACUGAUGAAAGUCAUUCUGCAUAUUAAAUAUAAAACUUCACAUCAAUAUAUAUACAUAUCAUAAAUAUAUUCACUAUUAAUAUAUAUUAUUCAUAUUAAAUAACUUACAAAAGUUCAUUCGGCACUUUCCUCCACCCACACAUCCGGAUCCUACUCAUUUUCUUUCUUCCUGACAUGAGUUUUCUUGAAAACCUCUGGUUCAAUGGGAGUGCGUCCCAA
rnacentral:lncRNA from 1 species